rnacentral:rRNA from 1 species
CCGCCCGAGGACCCCUAAACUCUGUUUUUAGUGGAACUUCUGAGUAAAACAAACAAAUAAAUCAAAACUUUCAACAACGGAUCUCUUGGUUCUGGCAUCGAUGAAGAACGCAGCAAAAUGCGAUAAGUAAUGUGAAUUGCAGAAUUCAGUGAAUCAUCGAAUCUUUGAACGCACAUUGCGCCCGCCAGUAUUCUGGCGGGCAUGCCUGUUCGAGCGUCAUUUCAACCCUCAAGCUCAGCUUGGUGUUGGGACUCGCGGUAACCCGCGUUCCCCAAAUCGAUUGGCGGUCACGUCGAGCUUCCAUAGCGUAGUAAUCAUACACCUCGUUACUGGUAAUCGUCGCGGCCACGCCGUAAAACCCCAACUUCUGAAUGUUGACCUCGGAUCAGGUAGGAAUACCCGCUGAACUUAAGCAUAUCAAUAAGCGGAGGA